rnacentral:rRNA from 1 species
GACGAGCGCUGGCGGCGUGCCUAACACAUGCAAGUCGAACGGAACUGUUUUGAAAGAUUUCUUCGGAAUGAAUUUGAUUUAGUUUAGUGGCGGACGGGUGAGUAACGCGUGAGUAACCUGCCUUCAAGAGGGGGAUAACAUUCUGAAAAGAAUGCUAAUACCGCAUGACAUAUCGGAAUCACAUGGUUCUGAUAUCAAAGAUUUUAUCGCUUGAAGAUGGACUCGCGUCCGAUUAGUUAGUUGGUGAGGUAACGGCUCACCAAGACCGCGAUCGGUAGCCGGACUGAGAGGUUGAACGGCCACAUUGGGACUGAGACACGGCCCAGACUCCUACGGGAGGCAGCAGUGGGGGAUAUUGCGCAAUGGGGGCAACCCUGACGCAGCAACGCCGCGUGAAGGAUGAAGGUUUUCGGAUUGUAAACUUCUUUUAUUAAGGACGAAAAAUGACGGUACUUAAUGAAUAAGCUCCGGC